UUUAGCAUUCCUUCUUGGAGAAAUCCUGUACAGUGGAUACUACUGAGAAACUGAAUGAUGUUCCUAGAAAUUUCAGAGCCUCGAGUCCUGAUUAUAUCAUUCUUUUGCUCUGACAAUGGCCAAGCUGACUUUUAUUCAUGACCCUACUUGUACGUCUGUGUUUCAGAGAUCACGUGACUGAGAGAGAGGUUUUUCCUUCAUAUCCAUGGCUAGACACAGGUGUGCACAUUUUGAGGGGCUACACAGACCUUCAGUUUGACUAUCUAUAGCCAGUCUAUUGUUCUUCGAGAACAGAGCUUCAUUAUUAGCGAGUUGACAUUCAACGAGGCCAAGCUGACCUCUCCGUCUCCUACAAAAGGGCCUUACUGAAAGGGAG
ensembl:lncRNA